CUGCAUAGUUUAUUUUUAAAUAAAUACACAUUUGUAAGUACAGACUCAUUAAAUAAAUACAAAAAUGACUACCAUUAACAAUCACAAUCGCAUGGUACAGCUGUUAAACAAAACAUAAUAAUGAAUCUACCUUGAAAAGCAGCAUCAAAUGACCAUAGUAAGAUUAUUAGAACUGGGUUAUAUAUAUUGUCAGUUCAGCAUGUGACACGUGUAAGCUAGCACACAACCACAAAUUCAAAAGAUUGUCAGGCCCACACCAUGAUUACGAACAAAAGAAUUUAAACAAAUCAUCUAUAGCAGUGUUUUCCAAACUUCAAGGCACAUCUACCUGUCCAGGAUUUAAGGAUUAACCAGUUGUGUCAAGGAUUUUUUUUCUUUCUAAACACACCUUAGACACAACUGGGUAAUUCCUAAAUCCUGUACUGAUAGCAGUGCCUUGAGGACUGGAUCUAUAGCAUAGAAAAGGAAAAUUCUAAGAAAACUAAAUGUAUUUCAAUUACCAUCAAAUUCUAUUUAUUAUAUGGUAUUGUUUGGUGACCACUAGCAUUUAUCUGUCGUUCAUCUGUGAGCCAUCUUCAGCUGUCUCAAUGUCAUAUAUAACAGAAAAUUAACUUAAAUGCAAGAGUUAAUGUUCCUCCCACCACUUACAAUGAAUAGAGCAAGAAAGAAAUUAAACUACUAAGUAGACCCGAUAAAUACCCCUCCGACCAUGUAACCCUUAGUUUGGUACAAAGCCACCAAUGCAGGGCAGGUAAUCAGUGCUGCCGUAGCCCAUUAUGGGUAAAAGAAAAAUAUCGGUAUGCAAGAGUUAAGUUUCCAUUUUCUCGGCCAUGGAAAUGUGAACGGUUUCUUCAUUUUUUGUUUUAUUCAUAUCUAACCAUUUUCUGAUGUAUGAGGUCAUUAAAUUAACAUUUUUGAUGUACCAAACAAUCACUAUAUUGUAAGGUCUUCAAAUUGUCUGUAUUAUGUGCCAGGGCUGAUCACGGGAGGAGAGCCCAGAGACAUGAGCAGCCGGAGGCAGAGGGGCCUACUCGAGGCGGAACGGCGAUGAAGAAGCAUAUGCAAUCAAGGACUAGCCCACCUAGGCUGCAUCAUCCACCAGGACAACAUCCCAAUCCUCUGACCCUCCAGAGCAGGGGAUAGACUUGGACUCUAACAGUACCCAAGUCCGUGGCACACUGAUGCCAGCUCUCGUCUGGGGCUGGAGGGGCACCCGAUUCUGGCGCAAAAGUCCUCUCAGGCAGUGUGCCAGCCGAGCCGCUUGUGGGAAUCAGCUGAUAUUGCAUGAGGGCCUACCGCCAUCUUCCCAUUCAGCAACAGCGCAUGGCUUCUAAACGGACUUACAUUGAAGCAACGCUUUUUUUAAUGUUAAGCUUUAUUUUUUUUAUUGUGGUACAGGGCAUGGAAGUUACAUUUUAUGCCCGAGGUUUUCUUUUUAGAACCUUGCAUGUUUCAUCGCAGUUAAUUAACUCUAGCUAUGUAUUACCUAGUCUACAAAGGCUUCAGCUCAAUAGGUACGAAGCGUCUAGCUAUGUGUCUAGCCUUGACUAUCUAAGGUUAUUCUUCUCUCUCAAUAUACCUAGAUAAGCAUCUUAGUCCCAAGUAUUUGGGAAAGCUCUUUCUUUUAGUCUCACCAUAGCUCAGGGCCAGAGCUUCCUAUAAGGCGAACUAGGCAGCCGCCUAGGGCGCCAUAUAGGAGGGGGCGCCCUG